AAACUUUACACUGCGGGAAACCGCGAUAAGGGGACCCCGAGUGCCAGCACCUAGUGUUGGCUGUCCUACUGUCUAAAUAACAGUGGUUAGCAAGGGCCGGGCAAGACCGGUGCCAGCCGCCCCGGUAACACCGGCGGCCCGAGUGGUAACCGUUUUUAUUGGGCCUAAAGCGUUCGUAGCCGGUUUGAUAAGUCUCUGGUGAAAUCCUAUGGCUUAACUGUGGGAAUUGCUGGAGAUACUAUUAGACUUGAGGUCGGGAGAGGUUAGCGGUACUCCCAGGGUAG
rnacentral:rRNA from 1 species